CCCCACCCCAAGUGGCAAAUGUGUGGGAUGAGGCAUGAAGGUAUUCCACCGUCACUUUCGUUGUCCUGGGCAGGAUUGUUAGUUGGAGGUUCUAUCAACCCCCCUCCAUACGCUGUCCCCCCCUCUCCUCAUGGGGGGACAGCACAACGGAGCCAGCCCCACCCCACCCCUACUUCACAGCACAACUGAUCAGGCGAGCUGACUUCUCACCUGAUCAGUUGUGCUGUCUUCUGCCCCACCCCCAAACCCAACAAACCCCAGCCCAGCCCAGCCACACAUCUCCAUCACAGCUGAUCAGCAGCAGUCUGGAAGAAUCACACCCAUCAGAUUGACAUGUGAUAGCUACAUGUUUGCUGACUGGUUUUUCCUCAUGUCUGCAGGUUCCAUCAACCCCCCUCCAUACGCUGUCCCCCCCUCUCCUCAUGGGGGGACAGCACAACGGAGCCUGCCCCACCCGUCACCCCACCCCACCCCAAGUGGCAAAUGUGUGGGAUGAGGCAUGAAGGUAUUCCACCGUCACUUUCGUUAUCCUGGGCAGGAUUGUUAGUUGGAGGUUCUAUCAACCCCCCUCCAUACGCUGUCCCCCCCUCUCCUCAUGGGGGGGACAGCACAACGGAGCCAGCCCCACCCGUCACCCCACCCCUACUUCACAGCACAACUGAUCAGGCGAGCUGACUUCUCACCUGAUCAGUUGUGCUGUCUUCUGCCCCACCCACCAAACCCCAGCCCAGCCCAGCCACACAUCUCCAUCACAGCUGAUCAGGUGGUUGCACCAAGCGCUUCACAGAAACAAAGAACUACUAACAGAUAAGAAACAACAAGAGGAAACAAACAAGGAGUUAGAGAGAAACCUCCGAGCGAAACAAGAAGAAAUCCAAGCCAAGCUCCACAACAUGGCAAAGGAAAAAGAGGGGCUGCAAGUCAAGUUUGACCAAGCGCUUCAAGAAAACACAAAACUACUAGCAGAGAAGAAAAAUCAGGGGGCAACACAUAAUGAAAUGCAGGGUAAAUUCGAAGCGCUGGUCAGCAAAAAUAACCACCUGCAAGGACUGUAUAACAAAGUCUCGUUCAAAAAUAGUGAAAUGCAAGAAGAGAAGCGACAAUAAAAAUAAAGACAUGCAGGCUACUGUUCAAGAACUGGAAAAAAGACAUCAAAAGUUACUGGCCAUCCAUGACAGACCACAACAAACUGGCAACGACAUGUGCGAGGAAAAGAAAGGUCAAGAAGAAAGAUACACAGAUCUGCAAGAAAAGUACAAAGAACUGCAAGAAAAAUAUGAAAAAAGCCAAGACAAAAUUGAACUGGAGAAAAGCACUGAGAAACUUUUCCUUGACAUUACAAACCUCACAGCACAGAACAUCAAACUCCAAGAACUGCUUCAAAAAAAGAAGAAAAAGACUUUCAGGUUUUUCUGGAAGAAGGACUCUUCUUCAGCUGAGCCUGGUCAAGAGUAGCCCCAUCUUAAUCCAACAGGGGAAAAUCAUACAAUAAAUGUUACAAAUAAAUUCACUGUUCUUUAUGGUCUUAUUUAAUGGUAAAAUUGUUUACAAACAGUAGUAGUGGUUCUUAGGAAAAGCUGAAUAACUUAAACUGAGCUUUCUUUAACAAGACUUCCUGUAUUAAGAUGAGUCGGCAGCUUUCAGUUGGAUAACAGGGACCAGUUUAAAAAUAACUCACCUUAAUUGGAAAAUGAAACAUAAGUAACCUCUCACUUUAAUCAUUUGUCAUCACUUUCUAGUAGAAUGAAUGUAUUAGCUUUGAUUAAACCUUUUAAAUGUGUGACAAAUGAAAAAAGUACAAAACGGCAGGGGUCAGUCGGAGCUGCGUAUAUCUUGCUGCUUCUAAAAGCCUCACACAUAUAUGUGGAAUAAUAGUGGAAUUCAUUCACAAUCAUUCUGUAGAGCAUGGAUCUUUGAAACACAGACUUUCACAUGCAGAAGAGAACAGAAAUGAUUAAGAAAACCCCAAACACACAAAAAGGAAGAAUCGUUCAAAGCAGGCAUACCUUAACUUAAAAUCUAAUACUGACACAUCCAACACAAUAUCAGUCUACACAUGUCCCUCAGGAAAUUCACUAUAAUGUAAUGAAAUAAAACAAACUUGAUUCUAUUAUAAGAUGGAGGGAUGUGUUGUUAGAAUAUUUUGGUUUUAGUGAAAGUUUAAACACAUUUUCUUGGUUGUAGCUCAUGAUCCCCCUUUUUGGUUUUUAAAUCAUACUUUAUGUCCCUUUUAGAGAUAGCAGUCCAUGUGUGUCUUUCCUUUACCCAUUAUUCAAUAAAACGACAAAAACCUGCAAAUGAUUGAUGACUGCCUAUUCUCAUUCUAAUCGGAUGAGCCCAUGAUGAUGACUACUUAAACC